GAUGAACGCUGGCGGCGUGCUUAACACAUGCAAGUCGAACGGAAAGGCUCAAGCUUGCUUGGGUGCUCGAGUGGCGAACGGGUGAGUAACACGUGGGUGAUCUGCCCUGCACUUUGGGAUAAGCCUGGGAAACUGGGUCUAAUACCGGAUAGGACCAUCGUUUAGUGUCGGUGGUGGAAAGUUUUUCGGUGUGGGAUGAGCUCGCGGCCUAUCAGCUUGUUGGUGGGGUAAUGGCCUACCAAGGCGUCGACGGGUAGCCGGCCUGAGAGGGUGUACGGCCACAUUGGGACUGAGAUACGGCCCAGACUCCUACGGGAGGCAGCAGUGGGGAAUAUUGCACAAUGGGCGCAAGCCUGAUGCAGCGACGCCGCGUGGGGGAUGACGGCCUUCGGGUUGUAAACUCCUUUCGCCAAGGACGAAGCGUUUUGUGACGGUACUUGGAGAAGAAGCACCGGCUAACUACGUG
rnacentral:rRNA from 1 species